GAUGAUUGGUUGAAAGACGUGUCAAUCACUAAUCUUUCUCAGUGUAUUCCGCUGGUCUUUGUUUGGAUGGAUUGGUUCGCUUGCAUCAGAACUAAAUCCACAAAGGAAUAAGGUCGGAUAUUCAACUUUUUAUACAACAAUGGGAUUUCUCUGGUAGACAUUUCACACGUGUUUACUACUGUCAUUAUUGUGUAAAGGCAGCAGCCAUUAGGUUCAACACAGUGGGUCGUGUUAUGAGUAAUAGGUUCGGUACUUCCAUUGCCGUACAGUGGAUGUGUUAACAGCAGCUUCUAGCAUAUGUCGUCCGCCAACUGGCCAUAGUUGUGGCUAGCAGGUUAGAUGCUGUUUUCUCUCACACAAUUACAAGAAGAAUAUUCAAUCCGAGCCUGAAGUCCUGCAGUGAGCGGGACCGAAAGGAUCUGUCCCCCCUGGACCUCUUCACGCCCCUGUUAUUCUGGGACAGGAAUGACCCGGCCACCUUGGAACACAUCAAACCAUGCUGGUACUGGGACAAGAAGGACUUGGCCCACACCCCGUCCCAGUCCGACGGGCUGGACCCUGCCACUGAGGCCCGGUACCGCAGAGAGGGGGCUCGCUACAUCUUUGAUGUUGGCACACGGCUCGGACUUCACUAUGACACACUGGCUACUGGGAUUGUUUACUUCCACCGCUUCUACAUGUUCCACUCCUUCAAGCAGUUUCCUAGAUAUGUGACAGGAGGAUGCUGUCUUUUCCUGGCAGGCAAAGUGGAGGAAACUCCAAAGAAGUGCAAAGACAUCAUCAAGACCGCUCGCAGCCUGCUAAAUGACAUCCAGUUUGCACAGUUUGGAGAUGAUCCCAAGGUCUGUCCAAAUAAAUACUUUUAUUAGCAAAGUAUUUUCUCUAAAAGUGCUGACAAAUAACCUGCUAUGAGUUUUAUUCAUUUUUCUGGGCUCUAUUUUUCUCAAGCCUUUCAACUUGGUGGACAGUAUUUUGUUAGUCAAAUUGGACAAAUCUUAAAAUGAGUACAUCCAUCCAUUAGUGUCUUAAUGUCUUAGGCCCAAUCCCAAACCACUCCCUCGACCCUACCCCUCCGUGACGGAGUGAACUCUGUCUGUAGCCACACUCGAAGCUGAAUGAAGUUCCCUCCAUUAAGGGUUAAGUGUAUAAAUACAGCGGCAAGCUUUGGGACGGCCUCCCCUCUCUCCGGCAGAAACAGGAAAUGCCGUAGCUG